rfam:Cicer arietinum chromosome Ca6, whole genome shotgun sequence.
AGCCCAUGAUGCGGGCACAAUCUCAGCAUCUUCUUGAAGCGCUCCCAAGCCUCAUAGAGUGAUUCUCCAUAUUUUUUUAGAAAAACUUGUGAUUUGAUUUCUCAAUU